rnacentral:rRNA from 1 species
UACGUAGGUGGCAAGCGUUGUCCGGAUUUAUUGGGUGUAAAGGGUGCGUAGACGGGUAAUUAAGUUAGUUGUGAAAUCCCUCGGCUCAACUGAGGAACUGCAACUAAAACUGGUUAUCUUGAGUGCAGGAGAGGUAAGUGGAAUUCCUAGUGUAGCGGUGAAAUGCGUAGAUAUUAGGAGGAACACCAGUGGCGAAGGCGACUUACUGGACUGUAACUGACGUUGAGGCACGAAAGUGUGGGGAGCAAACAGG